AUGAUGGAUUAUCUUGAAAUCAAGAACGGAGAAGAAUAUCUGGUAAAUCUGUUUAUUCAUAUGGGUCCUAUUCAAAUCAAGGAUAACGAAGGGAAUCCUGAAGAGAUGCUUGUUGACCAGCCGCAUUUUCUAGAACCCAUAUGUCCAGAGGAAGUCAAUGAAGAUACACGAGUAUACCCUCGUGUAGGGGAUGAGUACCAGGUGGAAGUUCCAAAUCUAGCAACAGAAGAGGAACGCAUGAAAUUAAGGUCUUUGCCAGUUGAUGGUAGCAGAAUGUUCGGUUUUGAGUAUCCUGUGGUAGUUGGAUUAACUAUUCCAGUCACAUGGACCCCAAAUACAAGCACUCAUGUUAAAGGAGAAUGGAGGGAAUUUUCAGGACACACUUUGUGUGAUUCAGAAGAUGAUCAUAACAGCCACAUCAGUGCAAUUAUCCCAAGAAGUUUACCUCAACACAGCAUUUAUCCAGAUUGUCUGCGCUGUAAAGUUGAAUAUGAUGAUCAUGGUGAGAAAUUCCCAAAAUCUGCUGGGCAAGACAUGUACUGCUUGCCGAAAAGCGAAGUUUUAAGCUGUUCUUGUGUAAAGAGGGAAGUCAGUGAUUAUAUUCCAUUGCCUGGAAUGCCAAGAUACUUCUGGUCUGUUGAAGAGGAACAGACUUUACUUCUUGGUCUCUACAUUUUUGGCAAAAAUCUUGUUCAGGUGACGAAAUUUAUAAAGAGCAAGACAAUGGGAGAAGUUCUAUCCUACUACUAUGGAGAAUUUUUUAAGUCUGAAGCAUAUAAACGAUGGUCUGCAUGUAGAAAAGUAAGAAGCAGGAGAUGUAUACUUGGGUUGCGUAUAUUCUCUGGUUCCAGACAGCAGGAACUGUUGUCACGUUUGCUUGCUGGCGUAGCAAGGGAAGUUCAAGAUCCUUUGCUCGAGGUCUUCAAGACAUUCAAUGAGGGGACAUCUGACUUUGAGCAGUUUAUUUUAUGCUUAAAGUCCACAGUUGGUGCACAGGUUCUUGUAGAAGCAGUUGGAAUUGGCAAAGGAAAGUAUGACUUGACUGGAUUUGCAUUAGAUCCUAGUAGAAACCAUGCUAUUUCGGGCCGUGCAGAAAUACCUAUUGGCAAGGCUUGCUCAUCGCUUUCGUCUGGAGAUAUCAUAAAAUAUUUGACUGGUGAUUUCAGACUAAGCAAGGCGAAAUCUAAUGAUCUAUUUUGGGAAGCUGUCUGGCCUCGCUUACUUGCAAGAGGGUGGCACUCCGAGCAGCCGAAAGAUUCCUCACUAGUCGGUAAGCAGGCCUUAGUCUUCCUCAUUCCAGGUGUAAAGAAAUUUUCCAGAAAGAAACUCGUCAAAGGAAAUCAUUACUUUGAUUCUGUCAGCGAUGUCUUGAGAAAAGUUGCAUCUGAACCAAGGCUGCUUGAUUUUGGAGUCCAAGGUGAUAAUAAUGGAGGUGAGGUUAAGAUUGCAAUUGGAUGGGUCAAUGAUGUUGAACCUGACAAAAGCACACUUGCUGACAAGAAACCUGCUUCCUAUAUCCGGCCCAGUGAACCAGGGUGUUCCCCUGAGCUUAUGAAAUUUACUGUGGUGGACACUAGUUUUGGUAAAGGGGAAGAACCAUGUAAGGUAAGGUCACUAAGAAAUCUACCUACAGAUGCCGGUCAUGGCUACAGUUCUUCACCACAUUCCGGCGAUUCUGUCAGUGUGAACUCAGAAGAACAUUCAGAUUCAGAAGACAGUUCUGAAACUUAUGAAGAUCUGGAUACCGAUGAGAGGAAAACUGAUGCAAGCUAUGUUGACGAGGAGAGAAAAAACAAUCCCCCAACUGGUGAUAAGAUGGAUGCUGAUGCACUUCAUAAGAUUUCUUCCUUUCCAGGCAGAGUCAAUGGUCACAUUUCAGUUGAUCAAUGUGUUGGCACAAUGAAUAAUGUCUGCUCUUCCACUGGAACAGUUCUUCCUGUUGGUAAUCAGAGGAUACAUGCUACCAAUUCUUCAACUGAAAUUAAUUUUCAGUUUGAUCCAAGAGUAAAUCCUGAACCUCAAGUUUUCUUAGCACCUAUGCCAAAGAGAAGAAGGUUAGUUUCUUUCAAGAAUGAAAGAACUGGUCGCAAAGGAACUGCUGUCAGUAAAAGACAUUAUGGGAAGCAAGCUGACGCCCCACUGCAACCUGUGCCUAAAGCAAAUGAAGCAAGUGCAGGGGCCAACCCUUUUGUAUGGAGCACAAUUUCAAGCUCAUCAACCAACAUAACCUUUGGCACUAAUAGCAAUCACACAUAUUGCGGACAGCUUCACAAUGUGGCCCCUAAUGUUGAAGUGGUUUACAAGGAAAAAGCUCAACGUAAGCAUGUUAUUGAUCUGAAUAUCCCUCAAAUGCCUUCUGAUUAUGAGUCGGCUACAAGUUAUAUCCAACCUUCAUCUGACAAUAAUGCAAUAACCAUGGACAUACCUAUGCAUCCCUCAGAAAACAAGGAGGCGGAUGACUGCCUUCCAGAUAUCAAUACCUCUGGUAGUGCAAUCUUGAGUGAGCAGCUUUCUUUCAACUCGAGGAGGCAGAGUACCAGAAGCCGCCCACCAACAUCCCGAGCUCUGGAAGCUCUUGCAUGUGGCUUCAUGGGGAAGCAGAAAGGUGGGGAGGGAAAUUUCCCAUCUUCUAGCAGGAGCAGCAGACCUGUCCGACGACCACGAAGAUCAACUGAUGUUACAGUUCCAUUUCCUUCUGAUGGCGUCGGGAGUGGUUCUCAUUUUAGUGACCAAGCCAUCGCUGUCAAUGAAUGGCGCAUGAGUAAUAAUCAGUUUCAAAUACUUCACAGCGCCCCCUCAAAUAACUCCAGUGAAAAAGGGACUCUUGAAUUGUUUGGGGCAGACAACUCUACUGAUAAAGGAACUCGUGAAAUUGUCUGGCAUUCUGUAGAUGGCAUGAAAACGAGUAAGGAGCUACAUGUGCAGCAAUUGCGUUGA
rnacentral:rRNA from 1 species